AUUGAACGCUGGCGGCAGGCCUAACACAUGCAAGUCGAACGAGUGGCGGACGGGUGAGUAAUGUCUGGGAAACUGCCUGAUGGAGGGGGAUAACUACUGGAAACGGUAGCUAAUACCGCAUACCAUCAGAUGUGCCCAGAUGGGAUUAGCUUGUUGGUGGGGUAGCGGCUCCCCAAGGCGACGAUCCCUAGCUGGUCUGAGAGGAUGACCAGCCACACUGGAAAUAAGGCACGGUCCAGACUCCUACGGUAGGCAGCGGUGGGAGAUAUUGCACAAUGGGCACAAGCCUGAUGCGGCCGUGCCGCGUGUAUGGAGAAGGCCUUCGGGUUGUAAAGUACUUUCAGCGGGGGGGCGUUACCCGCAGAAGAAGCCCCGGCUAACUCCGUGCCAGCAGCCGCGGUAAUUC
rnacentral:rRNA from 1 species